GAUGAACGCUGGCGGCGUGCCUAAUACAUGCAAGUCGAGCGAACGGACGAGAAGCUUGCUUUUCUGAUGUUAGCGGCGGACGGGUGAGUAACACGUGGAUAACCUACCUAUAAGACUGGGAUAACUUCGGGAAACCGGAGCUAAUACCGGAUAAUAUUUUGAACCGCAUGGUUCAAAAGUGAAAGACGGUCUUGCUGUCACUUAUAGAUGGAUCCGCGCUGCAUUAGCUAGUUGGUAAGGUAACGGCUUACCAAGGCAACGAUGCAUAGCCGACCUGAGAGGGUGAUCGGCCACACUGGAACUGAGACACGGUCCAGACUCCUACGGGAGGCAGCAGUAGGGAAUCUUCCGCAAAGGGCGAAAGCCUGACGGAGCAACGCCGCGUGGGUGAUGAAGGUCUUCGGAUCGUAAAACUCUGUUAUUAGGGAAGAACAUAUGUGUAAGUAACUGUGCACAUCUUGACGGUACCUAAUCAGAAAGCCACGGCUAACUACGUG
rnacentral:rRNA from 1 species